UGGCUGGCUAAACCCUAUAGUGAGAUUUUGACGCAUUUUUGCGCACUCAUGAUGCCCAGAAAUGCUGUAUAUGUAGGCGACUCACUAGGUUUUCAGAAGGGCUUAUGUACUGUACAGUUCACCGUGAGUGGAACAGCUGUAACCUGAAAGAGAGAGAGAGAACACACACACACACACACACACACAAAAUCCCCGCGCGACAGACAAUUGAUGUUGAGUUUGUGUAGUGGAGGAACAGCUGUGUGAAACACCGCGGCAGUAUGGAGGCAGACGAUUAUGAAUGGCCAACCCAUUGAAUGCUAUGUGGAGGAGUUCCUUUUGUACAGACACCUUAUGCUUGGUGAUGAGGCUAUGGUAAAAGACUGUUUCUGGAGUGGAAUUGAUCCAAAUAUUUGUCUGAACUUACUAGAAGACUCCAGCUGUACCCUGGCACAGUUUAUUGAAUUUGUCCUGCAGUUUUGUGAAUUUCCCUUUACAGUAGGGGAGGUUGAAGAAGACCCUACCCCUAAACCUAUGCUCUCAAGCCCUUCUGUCCCAGUAGUAAUCCCCAUGUCUACAGCACUUCCUAUAUGGGGGGUGGCUCUAUGGUGUGUUUGGGCUGCACACACUACCGCUGAAACUUCAGAGCUGACGGCAGCCGCUGAAGGAUCUCCAGAGGUGGUGGUUGAGGCUGCAGAACCUCAAGAGGCAGCGGAGCUUGCUUCAGCUCCUUGCGUGGUGGUGGCGCCCAGUUAUGAAGUCUCUGUCUGUUCUGUUAUAGCCAAGGAGGCUGUUAAUGAACUUCUCCACCGUGGCCUCUCCAGCUCUGCUGGGCUCCCUUGUCCCUCCAUCUCUGCCUUGGUCGGUCGUCCACCUCCCUACACUUCAGGACUACACUCCUCCUGCUACGCCCCGUCUCUUCAUUCCCCUGGCUCUGUUGGACUCCUCACUCCCCUCAGCUCCACCUUGGUCCUCUGUCGCUCUGGCUCCAAUGCGGUCUUCCGGAUCCUCCAUGCGCUUUAGUCGCCUGAGCCGUCAGCUCUGCCAUGGCCCUCCAGAACCUCAGUGUCGCCUUGGCUCUGCGGCUCUCCGUCUUUGCCUUGGGCUCCUCUUCCAACUGCUCCGUCUACUCUGCUGUCGUGGUCUUCUGCUCCAUACUGUCUCCAAGUUCUGCCUCAGUCUCCAGGCCCUCCUCCCACACAUGGACCCAGAGCUGUCCUUAAGGGAGUGCAGCUGAUGCGGUCGCAACGGGCCCCGCUGCGAAUGGACCGAGGGGCACCUGUACCAACAAACCCCCCUCCAGUACACGAACGGAAUGGGGGGCCCCGCUCCCUACCUCGCACCGGGCCCAGCGUCAGCUAAGGACAGCUCUGCAUGGACCUGUCCCUCCAUCCCUCCCCCUGUUCCACCUCCCUCCUGGAUUUAAGUGUUUAUUUCGGAGUGUCUGGAGUCUGCUCCUAAGGAGGGGGCUCUCUCAUGAUCUUGCCCAUGGUCCCCUGUCUGGUGUUUGGAUUUUGUUACUUCCUGUGAAGAGUGCCAUUUGUAGUCAACUUGUAGUCCUAUUGUUUCAUUGGUUGUCUUGAUUCCUUUCCCAGGUGUGUCUUGUUACCGUGUUAUCCUGUUUCCGUCUGUGUAUAAAUAGCCUGUUGAAUGUCUGUGAUGGUUGCUCCCUGCCCUUGUCUGAGUUCCUUGUUUUACCCAAGUUGGAUUACAUGUUGUUUCCUGAAUUUUUAUUAAACUCCUGCACGUAGAUCCUCACCCCUGUUUGCCUCAUCUCAUCUCUGCAACUUUACAAUAUAACUGAGACAUUUUUAACCUUUUUUUUUAUAUAUAUAUUCCACACAAAAAAAGUUGCAUCAGUGUGAGUAAAUGAAGAAAAUCUCACUUUUGGAUGAACUAUCCCUUUAAGAUGAGAAACACAGACCAACUUGGGUGCAAAAUAUUAAAAUAUAACACAUAACACUAGUGGCUUCAGAAAACAAAUGGUUUUUGCAUGUGUUGAUAGUGGUAGAACCAGGGACGUGCACAGACAUUAUGAGGUGCAGAGGCUCAAGUGGAAAAAAGGGCACUUCUCAUAUUUAUUUAAAAAAAAAAGUCUAAACAAAAUGUUAAAUAUAUUAGGGGUGUGCGAUAUUGACAGAAAAUAGAUCAAUAUUUUCUGGGAUUUUAUCGAUAAUGGUAAUUAGAUGGUAUUUUGCCAAGUGUGUUGUGCUGGUAUCUUAAGGACUACCGUGGACAGCUGACUUCUAAUGUUUUUGAUAUUCUGCAUAUUCUGUGUGGUGGUAAUGUCACAGCAGUGAUAGAAAUUCAUCUUUUCCAAUAAGUUUAAAUUGAUUUUUACAUCUUAUUGGCACCUUUUUAAGCCAUAUUUUCUAAAAGUGUGCCUCAUUUUUUCAAAUUCUUAAAUUGACUCAGUGAAUUAGAAUAAUAAAUAAUUUGGGCUGUUACCA
ensembl:lncRNA